UACGUAGGGCGCAAGCGUUAUCCGGAAUUAUUGGGCGUAAAGAGCUCGUAGGCGGUUUGUCGCGUCUGCCGUGAAAGUCCGGGGCUCAACUCCGGAUCUGCGGUGGGUACGGGCAGACUAGAGUGAUGUAGGGGAGACUGGAAUUCCUGGGUGUAGCGGUGAAAUGCGCAGAUAUCAGGAGGAACACCGGUGGCGAAGGCGGAUCUCUGGGCCGUAACUGACGCUGAGGAGCGAAAGCGUGGGGGAGCGAACAGG
rnacentral:rRNA from 1 species